UACGGAGGGUGCGAGCGUUGUCCGGAAUCAUUGGGCGUAAAGGGCGCGUAGGUGGCACGACAAGCGUGCGGUGAAAGCUUGGGGCUCAACCCCGAGUCGGCCGUGCGAACUGUUGAGCUGGAGCACUGUAGAGGCAGGCGGAAUUCCGGGUGUAGCGGUGAAAUGCGCAGAUAUCAGGAGGAACACCGGUGGCGAAGGCGGGUCUCUGGGCCAUAACUGACGCUGAGGCGCGACAGCGUGGGGAGCAAACAGG
rnacentral:rRNA from 1 species